rnacentral:rRNA from 1 species
UACGUAGGGUGCAAGCGUUGUCCGGAAUUAUUGGGCGUAAAGAGCUCGUAGGCGGUUUGUCGCGUCUGGUGUGAAAAUCCAGGGCUUAACCCUGGACCUGCAUCGGGUACGGGCAGACUAGAGUGCGGGUAGGGGAGAUCGGAAUUCCUGGUGUAGCGGUGAAAAUGCGCAGAUAUCAGGAGGAACACCGGUGGCGAAGGCGGUUCUCUGGGCAUUACCUGACGCUGAGGAGCGAAAGCGUGGGGAGCAAACAGG